UACAGAGGGGGCAAGCGUUAUUCGGAAUUAUUGGGCGUAAAGGGUGCGUAGGCGGUGGAGUAAGUCGGAUUGUGAAAAUACCUUAGCUUAACUAGGGAACUGGCAACUCGAUACUACUUUGCUAGAGUAAGACAGAGGUGAGUGGGAACUGAGGGUGGAGCGGUGAAAUGCGUUGAUAUCUCAGGAACACCGGUGGCGAAGGCGACUCACU
rnacentral:rRNA from 1 species